rnacentral:rRNA from 1 species
GAUGAACGCUGGCGGCGUGCCUAAUACAUGCAAGUCGAGCGAACAGACGAGGAGCUCGCUCCUCUGACGUUAGCGGCGGACGGGUGAGUAACACGUGGAUAACCUACCUAUAAGACUGGGAUAACUUCGGGAAACCGGAGCUAAUACCGGAUAAUAUAUUGAACUGCAUGGUUCAAUAGUGAAAGACGGUUUUGCUGUCACUUAUAGAUGGACCCGCGCCGCAUUAGCUAGUUGGUAAGGUAACGGCUUACCAAGGCGACGAUGCGUAGCCGACCUGAGAGGGUGAUCGGCCACACUGGAACUGAGACACGGUCCAGACUCCUACGGGAGGCAGCAGUAGGGAAUCUUCCGCAAUGGGCGAAAGCCUGACGGGGCAACGCCGCGUGAGUGAUGAAGGUCUUCGGAUCGUAAAACUCUGUUAUUAGGGAAGAACAAAUGUGUAAGUAACUAUGCACGUCUUGACGGUACCUAAUCAGAAAGCCACGGCUAACUACGUGCCAGCAGCCGCGGUAAUACGUAGGUGGCAAGCGUUAUCCGGAAUUAUUGGGCGUAAAGCGCGCGUAGGCGGUUUUUUAAGUCUGAUGUGAAAGCCCACGGCUCAACCGUGGAGGGUCAUUGGAAACUGGAAAACUUGAGUGCAGAAGAGGAAAGUGGAAUUCCAUGUGUAGCGGUGAAAUGCGCAGAGAUAUGGAGGAACACCAGUGGCGAAGGCGACUUUCUGGUCUGUAACUGACGCUGAUGUGCGAAAGCGUGGGGAUCAAACAGGAUUAGAUACCCUGGUAGUCCACGCCGUAAACGAUGAGUGCUAAGUGUUAGGGGGUUUCCGCCCCUUAGUGCUGCAGCUAACGCAUUAAGCACUCCGCCUGGGGAGUACGACCGCAAGGUUGAAACUCAAAGGAAUUGACGGGGACCCGCACAAGCGGUGGAGCAUGUGGUUUAAUUCGAAGCAACGCGAAGAACCUUACCAAAUCUUGACAUCCUCUGACCCCUCUAGAGAUAGAGUUUUCCCCUUCGGGGGACAGAGUGACAGGUGGUGCAUGGUUGUCGUCAGCUCGUGUCGUGAGAUGUUGGGUUAAGUCCCGCAACGAGCGCAACCCUUAAGCUUAGUUGCCAUCAUUAAGUUGGGCACUCUAAGUUGACUGCCGGUGACAAACCGGAGGAAGGUGGGGAUGACGUCAAAUCAUCAUGCCCCUUAUGAUUUGGGCUACACACGUGCUACAAUGGACAAUACAAAGGGCAGCGAAACCGCGAGGUCAAGCAAAUCCCAUAAAGUUGUUCUCAGUUCGGAUUGUAGUCUGCAACUCGACUAUAUGAAGCUGGAAUCGCUAGUAAUCGUAGAUCAGCAUGCUGCGGUGAAUACGUUCCCGGGUCU